GGGCCCGCACAAGCGGUGGAGCAUGUGGUUUAAUUCGAUGAUACGCGAGGAACCUUACCAGGACUUAAAUGUAAGUUGCAUAGAUCAGAGAUGGUCUUUUCUUCGGACUACUUACAAGGUGCUGCAUGGUUGUCGUCAGCUCGUGCCGUGAGGUGUCAGGUUAAGUCCUAUAACGAGCGCAACCCCCUGUCGUUAGUUACCAGCAUUUUAGUUGGGCACUCUAGAGAGACCGCCGGUGAUAAAACCGGAGAAGGUGUGGAUGACGUCAAGUCAUCAUGCCCCUUACAUCUGGGCUACACACGUACUACAAUGCUACGGACAAAAGGGCAGCAAAACUCGCGAGAGCUAGCAAAAUCCCAUAAACGUGGCUC
rnacentral:rRNA from 1 species